UAAUACGAAGGGAGCUAGCGUUGUUCGGAAUUACUGGGCGUAAAGGGCGCGUAGGCGGCUUCAACAGUUGGGCGUGAAAUGCCUGGGCUUAACCCAGGAAUUGCGCUCAAUACUGCGAGGCUUGAGUGUGGGAGAGGAUAGUGGAAUUCCCAGUGUAGAGGUGAAAUUCGUAGAUAUUGGGAAGAACACCAGCGGCGAAGGCGGCUAUCUGGACCACAACUGACGCUGAGGCGCGAAAGCGUGGGGAGCAAACAGGAUUAGAUACCCUGGUAGUCCACGCUGUAAACUAUGUGUGCUUGACGUCGGGAGGCAUAGCCUUCCGGUGUCGCAGCUAACGCGGUAAGCACACCGCCUGGGGAGUACGGUCGCAAGAUUA
rnacentral:rRNA from 1 species